ACAAUGUGAGCACAGCUUUCAGGAACUGAAAAGACGCCUGACCUCUGCUCCCGUACUGGUACCGCCAGACUUCUCCAAGGACUUUGUUAUCUACUGCGACGCCUCGCGACAAGGACUAGGUUGCAUUCUCAUGCAAGAUCGACACGUAAUUGCCUACGCUUCACGGCAAUUGCACCCACAUGAGGAGAAUUAUCCUACUCAUGAUCUAGAGCUAGCAGCCGUAGUCUAUGCACUUAAGACCUGGCGACAUUACCUCCUCGGUAACCGUUGCGAAAUAUUCACUGAUCACCAAAGUCUGAAGUACAUUUUCACCCAACCGGAUCUGAAUCUCAGGCAAAGACGUUGGGUUGAGUUGAUCACAGACUUCGACUUAGGAAUAACCUACACCCCAGGGAAAGCCAACGUCAUGGCUGAUGCGCUAAGUCAUAAAUCUUAUUGUAACAACCCGAUGUUACAACAAAGUCAACCGCUUCUCCAUGAGGAAUUUCGGAAGCUUAACCUUCACAUUGUUCCUCAAGGUUUUCUUUCCACCUUGGUGGCAAAACCUACCCUUACGGAUCAGAUUAUCAAAGCACAGAAGGUAGAUCCGGGAAUUUCCCGCAUCAAGAGAAACAUCCAGAAAGGAAUUGCGAAUUGCUUCUCCACUAAUGAUCAAGGGGUCGUAUACUUCGGGAAUCGACUAGUGGUUCCCAAAGUGCGAAACCUGAGACGAUUGAUCCUUAAGGAAGCUCAUGAAUCUCCUCUCUCCAUUCAUCCCGGUAGUACUAAGAUGUAUCAGGACCUACGCCAGAGGUUCUGGUGGACUAGGAUGAAGAGAGAAAUUGCUCAGUAUAUUGCUAAUUGCGACAUCUGUCGUCGUGUAAAAGCAGAGCAUCAACGGCCUGCUGGCACCCUUCAACCCUUAGCUAUUCCUGAAUGGAAAUGGGAUAAAAUUGGUAUGGAUUUCAUUACCGGUUUUCCCAGGACCAAGAGAGGGAAUAAUGCUAUUUUCGUCGUUGUCGAUCGUCUUUCCAAAGUAGCCCAUUUCUUACCUGUUCGUGAGAGUAUAACCGCUAGUCAGCUGGCAGACUUAUACAUCUCCCGAAUAGUGUCCCUCCAUGGUGUUCCUUUGGAAAUUAACUCGGAUCGAGGAAGUCUUUUCACCUCUCGAUUUUGGGAAAGUUUCCAAAAUGCUAUGGGAACCCGUCUCUCCUUUAGCACCGCCUUCCACCCUCAGUCGAGUGGUCAAGUGGAACGCGUCAACCAGAUUCUAGAAGACAUGCUUCGAGCCUCUGUUAUCUCAUUCGGAAUGGACUGGGAGAAGUGCCUUCCAUUUGCCGAAUUCGCUUACAACAACAGCUAUCAAUCUAGCUUUGGUAAAGCCCCUUUUGAAGUUCUCUAUGGACGAUGGUGUCGAACACCCCUUAACUGGUCAGAAACCGGGGAAAGACAAUUCUUUGGCCCGGAUAUGAUUCAGGAAGCAGAAGAACAAGUUCGUAUCGUUCGUGAAAAGUUGAAAACAGCCCAAUCUCAUCAAAAGAGUCAAUAUGACCGAAAACAUAAGGCUAUGACUUUCGAGGUUGACGAGAAGGCUUAUCUUCGGGUCACCCCUCUGAAGGGAACCCAUCGUUUCGGUAUCAAAGGCAAAUUGGCUCCUCGUUACAUUGGACCUUUUCGCAUUCUCGCCAAACGAGGAGAAGUUGCCUACCAGUUGGAACUACCUCCGCACCUCUCCAGAGUCCACGAUGUCUUCCACGUUUCUCAACUCAGGCGUUGCUUCUCG
rnacentral:rRNA from 1 species